CCUACGGGAGGCAGCAGUGAGGAAUAUUGGACAAUGGGCGCAAGCCUGAUCCAGCCAUGCCGCGUGCAGGAUGAAGCAUCUAUGGUGUGUAAACUGCUUUUAUACAGGAAGAAACCUCCCGACGUGUCGGGAAUUGACGGUACUGUAAGAAUAAGGAUCGGCUAACUCCGUGCCAGCAGCCGCGGUAAUACGGAGGAUCCAAGCGUUAUCCGGAAUCAUUGGGUUUAAAGGGUCCGUAGGCGGGCCAGUAAGUCAGUGGUGAAAUCUCUCCGCUCAACGGGGAAAUGGCCAUUGAUACUGCUGGUCUUGAAUUAUUAGGAAGUAACUAGAAUAUGUAGUGUAGCGGUGAAAUGCUUAGAGAUUACAUGGAAUACCAAUUGCGAAGGCAGGUUACUACUAAUGGAUUGACGCUGAUGGACGAAAGCGUGGGUAGCGAACAGGAUUAGAUACCCUGGUAGUCCACGCCGUAAACGAUGGAUACCUAGCUGUUGGGGGCAACGUUCAGUUGGCCUAAGCGAAAGUGAUAGUAUCCCACCUGGGGAGUACGUUCGCAAGAANAGAACGACGAAAGAAGUUAGACGGCGUGAGAGUAGACGACGGACGACGACGAGGGGAGGAGG
rnacentral:rRNA from 1 species